AAGGGGCGCCGUUCGAAGAGGGCGGCGCGGUGACGGUACCUCACGAGAAAGCCCCGGCUAAUUACGUGCCAGCAGCCGCGGUAAUACGUAGGGGGCGAGCGUUGUCCGGAAUUAUUGGGCGUAAAGCGCGCGCAGGCGGUCCCUUAAGUUUGAUGUGAAAGCCCACGGUUCAACCGUGGAGGGUCAUUGGAAACUGGGGGACUUGAGGGCAGGAGAGGAGAGCGGAAUUCCACGUGUAGCGGUGAAAUGCGUAGAGAUGUGGAGGAACACCAGUGGCGAAGGCGGCUUUCUGGCCUGCACCUGACGCUGAGGCGCGAAAGCGUGGGGAGCAAACAGGAUUAGAUACCCUGGUAGUCCACGCCGUAAACGAUGAGUGUUAAGUGUUAGAGGGGUCACACCCUUUAGUGCUGCAGCUAACGCGAUAAGCACUCCGCCUGGGGAGUACGGCCGCAAGGCUGAAACUCAAAGGAAUUGACGGGGGCCCGCACAAGCGGUGGAGCAUGUGGUUUAAUUGGAAGCAACGCGAAGAACCUUACCAGGUCUUGACAUCCCCUGACAACCCAAGAGAUUGGGCGUUCCCCCUUCGGGGGGACAGGGUGACAGGUGGUGCA
rnacentral:rRNA from 1 species